rnacentral:rRNA from 1 species
UCACUGUUUACUGCUCUUUUUCUAGGCUACCUAGAAAAAAUGUAGAGAAGUAAAGAGUGAAAGUGCUGACGAGUGGCGGACGGCUGAGUAACGCGUGGGAACGUGCCCCAAAGUGAGGGAUAAGCACCGGAAACGGUGUCUAAUACCGCAUAUGAUCUUCGGAUUAAAGAAUUUAUUCGCUUUGGGAGCGGCCUGCGUCGGAUUAGGUUGUUGGUGAGGUAAUGCCUCACCAAGCCGACGAUCCGUAGCUGGUCUGAGAGGAUGACCAGCCAGACUGGAACUGAGACACGGUCCAGACUCCUACGGGAGGCAGCAGUGAGGAAUCUUCCACAAUGGGGGCAACCCUGAUGGAGCAACGCCGCGUGCAGGAUGAAGGCCUUCGGGUCGUAAACUGCUUUUAUUUGUGAAGAAUAUGACGGUAACAAAUGAAUAAGGGUCGGCUAACUACGUGCCAGCAGCCGCGGUCAUACGUAGGACCCAAGCGUUAUCCGGAGUGACUGGGCGUAAAGAGUUGCGUAGGUGGUUAUAUAAGCGAAUAGUGAAAUCUGGCGGCUCAACCGUACAGGCUAUUAUUCGAACUGUAUAACUCGAGAAUGGUAGAGGUUACUGGAAUUUCUUGUGUAGGAGUGAAAUCCGUAGAUAUAAGAAGGAACACCAAUGGCGUAGGCAGGUAACUGGACCAUUUCUGACACUAAGGCACGAAAGCGUGGGGAGCGAACCGGAUUAGAUACCCGGGUAGUCCACGCCGUAAACGAUGGAUACUAGCUGUUGGAGGUAUCGACCCCUUCAGUAGCGAAGCUAACGCGUUAAGUAUCCCGCCUGUGGAGUACGGUCGCAAGAC